rnacentral:rRNA from 1 species
UGCGUAGGCGGAAUAUUAAGUCAGUGGUGAAAUCCUGCGGCCCAACCGUAGAACUGCCAUUGAUACUGAUAUUCUUGAAUGUAGUUGAGGUAGGCGGAAUGUGUAAUGUAGCGGUGAAAUGCUUAGAUAUUACACAGAACACCGAUUGCGAAGGCAGCUUACUAAACUAUGAUUGACGCUGAGGCACGAAAGCGUGGGGAGCGAACAGGAUUAGAUACCCUGGUAGUCC